ACAGGGUGCACGGAGCUAGGCUCUGGGGCUACCCGCUUGCCUGUCUGGCUGCCGUCCCGUCUGUUUGUCUGCGCCAGCUCCUUUUCAGGGGCGUCCAACUGCCGGCGGGGCAGAAAGGCGCAGGUCGCGGAGAGCCCUCCUUCCUUGUCAAUCAAGCCCAGAGUCUGGCGUGUGUGGGGGCUAGGGGUGGAUGGCGAGAUGCUGGAUCCCGACUGACACACUAACAGAGAUCGAGACACAAACGUUCGGACACACUGACGCACAAAAAGAGACCCUUCCUAGAGCCCUCGUCCCUUGGAGCAGGACUCCCCAGGAGUGUUCUUAGGGGUCUGAAUUGCGCCUCGCCCGGUCCCCGUUCCCCGCUCGCAGGCAGUGGAAGCGAAAGUUGGCUGCACUCGAAGAGGUGGAAACUGACUGAGGACCGGGGGCGGCGCUAGGGUGCCCCAAGGAGUGAAGGAUUCAUCCUGUCAGGCAGGCAUCCUCGUGGGGUAGGGGAUGGAAUUUGUUUCUUCCCAGAGCCCAGCAUAUCCGGCCCCUGCCUCUCCUCCGGUCCCUCCAAGGUCCUGAGAAUAUGCAUCCAUCUGCUUCUCACUCACCUUUCAUGUCUUGCCCCAGGACUAGAAGGCUGGAGGUAUAAGACCCAUGGGGUACCUUGAGCCUGGCGGAGUUCACAGAUGGGCAACCCCUUGAUGUUGCUAUCACCUGGGAAGAAACUGAUGCCCAGAUAUAUAGAGAGGUAAUCAGCAGCAGAGUUCAAUUUGAAAAGCAGGUCUUUUAGCCACAUGAUUCUGAGCACACAUUGCACCCCUGUGUGCUGGAGCAAAUCGCUGGCCAGAGAGACCAUGGACCCCUUUGGUUAACUGAGGCUUUGCACUUGGUAAUCCUCUGGUCAGCGGGGAGCAAUGUGGCCCACUGAGAAGCCCCAGGCCAAGGAGGAGAAGAGACCAUCCUGUACCUGGAAAGCAGCUCAUGAGUGAUGGUUUUCAGGUGGAAGAGAGAAUCACCUUCAAAUCGAAAGAUUUCUACUGUGGAUCUCAUCUGGGGGUGAUUCACCACAUACAAGUACACAGCAUUGUCUGAGGAGGGAAGACAAGAACAGCCUCAGGAGUGGCUGGCUUUCUCUUGUGUCUUCCAGGAGUAGAGAGCCAUCCCAUUCUCACCUCCAGUGUCUGAGAAGAGCUCCUAAGGAACUUCCACUCUGCCCAGAAUCGUAAUAAUCCAGUUGUUCUCUGUCUCCUUGGCUGCAGCAGCAAGGUCUCCUGCCCCUUUUGUGUGCAUGGGUGUCAACCAAGACUCUGCCCUGUCUGCCCUUCUCACCUCCCUCCACACUCUUGCUUGGUAACCUCAUGGGCUCAGAGGUCAUUUCAAAGCUCCCAAAUGUACAUGUCUAGCCCGACAUUAUCAGCUGCCUGCUGGACAUUUCCACUGGCAUGCCCCAUGAACACCUCAAACUCAACAUGGUCAAAUGAAGCUCAUUAUCUUUCCCUCCAGACCCACUCCACUCCAGAACUUCUCACUGCUGACUCAUACUGAACUGAUGAUCCACUAAGCCCCUCAGAUCUUUUUCAGUUGUAUUUAAGCACAAUUUACCCACCCUGCACUUGAGAAGUUGAGUUUUUUUUUCCAAUGUUAAUGUCAGAUCUUCCAUUUAUCCUUGUUUAGUUUCACCUCCCAUGGGGACGUGAGAACAAAGAAGGAAACCAUCCCCACUGGUAACAAGCUGUGUUGGUAACAAAAAAUGGGCUCCUUAGCACUUAGUCAACAAGUGCCCUUGAAUAGUUUGGCUUUUUCCCC